AGGGGAAUAUUGCACAAUGGUCGCAAGCCUGAUGCAGCCAUGCCGCGUGUAUGAAGAAGGCCUUCGGGUUGUAAAGUACUUUCAGCGGGGAGGAAGGGAGUAAAGUUAAUACCUUUGCUCAUUGACGUUACUCGCAGAAGAAGCACCGGCUAACUCCGUGCCAGCAGCCGCGGUAAUACGGAGGGUGCAAGCGUUAAUCGGAAUUACUGUGCGUAAAGCGCACGCAGGCGGUUUGUUAAGUCAGAUGUGAAAUCCCCGGGCUCAACCUGGGAACUGCAUCUGAUACUGGCAAGCUUGAGUCUCGUAGAGGGGGGUAGAAUUCCAGGGGUAGCGGUGAAAUGCGUAGAGAUCUGGAGGAAUACCGGUGGCGAAGGCGGCCCCCUGGACGAAGACUGACGCUCAGGUGCGAAAGCGUGGGGAGCAAACAGG
rnacentral:rRNA from 1 species